rnacentral:snRNA from 1 species
AUGCUCACAGCAGCACGUGUACUAAAAUUGGAACGACACAGAGAAGAUUAGCAUGGCUCCUGUGCAAGGAUGUCAUGCAAAUUCAUCAAGUGUAUUUUAAAUUU